UUCCCAGCAGCAAAUUUGGGUUGUGUUUGUGCCUCCUGUCCUCUCCCAGGGGAAGAGCCUGAGGAGGGACCCAAGGAAAAGAAGAGGUUGGCUUGUUGCAAAUUGCUGCCAGGAAACUGUCAGUCUUCUAACCUAACAUCAGUUCUUAUCAGAGAAACCCUGGGAAGGAUGGACCUGCACGGCAAACAAUUAAUUGCCUUCUUUCCUGUCAAGUCUCACGAUGUCAAGCCUCCCUGCAAACCUUGAGCUGGACACAGGGAAAGUGGAUGGUAGACUUUCACCCAGAGAAAAGGAACUCGGAAACUGUUGUUUCUUUGAGAUGUGGUUUACUGAGGACUUUCCUGCCUGUGUUUUCAUGAUCCCAUGUGCAAAAAAACAACUUUUAUUUGAAUGUGACAUCUACCUGCAAAGGAGCAAAUCCCCAGCACCACCAGUGUAUUGUGUCAUGCCAAAAGCCAGAGAAGCUCUAUGUAGGGUUUUCUUCCAAAUGCCAGGGCUCAGACUGCAGACGGUACCCUUGCUCAUUCUGGAGAACGUUAUCAACCUCAUGGUUUGGGGUUAAGGGUUGGGGUUGGGGUAUUGUUAGUGUUUUCAUCACUAGAGGAAAUGUAUGGUCUGACAAUCACCAUGCCUGCAGAUCAAAGGCAGAGUGAGGCGUUAUCUGCUGCCGCCUGUGCUGCGACUCCAAGCGCAUUUCUGGUGGGCUGACCCUGAGGUGAGCUGCGGUGGGAAAGAGUUCUGCAGCAGGAUGGCUCUCUAGGCACAGGCUCAUGUAGGGUCGCAUUCUAAGAGCAAAAUCUUGGUCUCUUCCUUUUAGGUAGUCCCACUGCCUAACUUUAAAAGCUCUGAAUACUUUGUAACUGGUUUUUGAUCAACAGGGCGAGAAACAUCAGUUUGUGCAGAGAUUGUCCUGGGAGAAGUAGGAUGCUCUGAAUCAUUAUCCUAGUGUGCCACUGGUCUGCUUUUUGACUUGGGGAAAGAUCCAAGCUGCAGUCACACUGACCCCUCAACCAGUCUCUUCGUGGAGCAUAAAAUGAAGUGAAAGUCACUCAGUCGUGUCUGACUCUUUGACCCAAUAGACUGCAGUCCUCCAGGCUCCUCUGUCCAUGGAAUUCUCCAGGCAAGCAUACUGGAGUGGGUUGCCAUGUCCUCCUCCAGGGGAUCUUCCCAACCCAGGGAUCGAACCCAGAUGUCCCGCAUUGCCUGUGGAUUCUUUAUCAUCUGAGCCCUUUACCCCUGCUGGUAAAGAAUCUGCCUGCAAUGUGGGAGACUUGGGUUUGAUCCCUGGGUUGGGAAGAUCCCCUGGAGAAGAGAAUGGAUACGUACUCCAAUAUUAUGGCCUGGAGAAUUCCAUGGAUUGUAUAGUCCAUAAAUUGGAUAAUUGCUGUGUAACACCCGGAGGUUACUAAAUACUUCCAAAAAUAUUUUUACAUUGAGCACAGCCCUUGCCAAUGCUGGUUUACACAUGAUGCCCCUGUGGAUGAUUUUGUUCUGUCUUCCCUGCAGGACAAACUGAAACUUUGUUCCCAAGCCUCAGUUUGUAUGCACUCCGUUUCUGCUUGUGAGCAUUUCUACUCCCUUAAAGGAAUAAUCUUUCCCUUCCUCUGUGCUCCCACUGUUGCACAUUUCUGUGGAGUUCUCGCCUCCAGGCAUUCUUCACGUGUCACUGCUUGGUGUGAGCGCCUCAAGGGCCACCUAGUCACUGCGUUCACCAGGUGCCCAUUACGACAAUCAUAGCUGAAUAGAUGUUGGAUGAAUGAAUGAUUGAAUGCAGGAGAAGACGGGUAGACGAAACGGAUACAAAAUACUCUGCAUCCCUGUGGGAAAAAAUCAUUUCAUUUGGGAAAGGGGGUAUUUCUGCAGGAGGGGUGUCUCUGUUUUUGAUGAAACCUGGGCUAACACACCUCCCUUGCCCACUUAGGUUAAAUUGACCUCCUUUGUGCUCUCAGAAUACCAUGUGCAUAUUGUUCUUACUUUUCAUAAACUAUUGCGAUUAUCUAUUUAGGUAUAUCUUUCUCCUUCUGGAUUAUAUAUCUGUUGAAGCAGAGACCACCAUGUACUUAUUUUUUGAAUCUCUGGCCUCUAACACAGUACCUGGCAUAAAUUAGAACUCUGAAAAUAGUAAAUAUUUGCCGGAUGACUGCCUAAGGAAGAGAGCUAGCUUUCCUCUGAUCAGAAGGAAUUUCCAGCAGACCUACACAGUAUUUUAAAUGGUUUGCUGUUUCAAUGGGUGGUCUCUUUUGGCUUCACCCAAAUUGAGUCAGAGAUUAUGCUAGCAAUUGCCUCACACAAAAGAUUAUAAUUAUAUCCAAUGAUUAUGAGAAUAAUUGCUACAAUAUGCUUGGCACCUAUAUGUUAUCAGGCUAUUAGAUAUUUCACAUGUAUCAUCUCAUUAUCACAGCAAACAUAUUAGGUUGUUAUUAUAUACUUUGGGCUUUUUGGAAAUGUACCUGGACAACUGGCCUUGACCGAAGACAUUCUUGAGAAUAUAUUAAAAGUCGUUUUAGUUACAAUUUUCCAAGGGUGUUGAAAAACCCCUUAGUGGUUAACAUUGCAUCUACCAUUUACCAGCACAUGAACGUUCAAGGCCAGGACAGCUUUAAAAAAAUAUAUAAUCUUCACUUCAUCCUUAACGUUAAUGUGACUUUAUAUCCCAACAGCCUUACUCUACUUUUUGUCCAUAAAAAUGUGCAGAUUAUACUAUGACAUUGCUUAGGGCCAUAGAACUAGUCACCUCACUCACCCUCUUUCUCCCUGUUUCCACUGAGGUUAUGGAAGUUAGCAAGAUGUAAUGGAGGCAUCUGUUCCCAGGGCACAGUGAACAAUUAUGGGAUUCACAGUUGAUUUUAACCUAUUGCAUUAGUCCUUAGGAAUCGCACGAAUAUUUUGCACGUAUAUUUUAAAGGUGUAAUUUUCUAGAGUGAGGCUUAUAUCACAUUCUCAAAUGAGUUGAGAAUCACUGUGUCUAAUUCUAUGUGAGCCUCCAGUUUGAGGUAGAUUACGAAGAGUAGGGCAGAGCUCUCAACCUCAGAGGUCACCGUUGGCCAGCUGAACUCUGAAUCAUCAGGGCCCUCGGUAAAAACUGUCUAAUUGCAAACUCUCUUUAGGCACCUGGGUUGGAGCUUUGUGCCUCUCGAGAGUAUAUGCUUUCCUCUCUUAAAAGCUGUGGGAGUCUAUAAGACCCAACCUUUACUCUUCGCUUGUCCUCCCUGUAGUGUGGCUCUGUUGUCAAAACUUCAUAUUAUGAUGUAACCCAGCACAACUUGUCCAAAACAAUAUUAGAUUUAUUCCAUUUGUUAAAAGGAAGAUAUCACUAGUAUGUGGCCCUUUGGCAAAAUCUCAACGCCUAGUUCUAGGCAUAGGUUCAAUCACCUGUUGCUAAGAUACUGCAAAAAAUAUUAUCUGUUUUUAAAUGUUUCUUUUUAAUUGAAUAAACUGUUGCUUUAAAAAAAUCAGUGCAAAGGUUAAAUAGGUCUUUGAAAUUGUGUGGUUUUUUUUUAAGCUGGCAGAGACAUUUCUGAACAUUUUAAAUGGAACAGCUGCCGUCUCAGUGGAUUUCCUUGAUGCUGUUUUUAAAUUACAUAUAAAGGAGCACUCACAGCACAACUGGAUUAUGGAAAUAGCAGAGAAAGAGUCUUAGCUGGAUGAGUACAUACUGAAAAUGCUGGCCACGGUCAUUGAUUCUGUGUCAUACAUGUGAGGGAAAAUGCAGACAUGGGUCUACAAUCCUGAUUAGCAAACCUAAUUAGCCAGGUUCAGAGAUUUCUGGUUUUCAGAACAGUACUACAGAGCAUAUAUCCCAAGAAGGAUCUGGCGAAACAUGAUGUAAUCCAAGAUCAUUAAUGUUUGUCUGACAAAACGUUUUAGUACUUACACAAAGUUCUCACAUCAGUUCACAUCCAGAUCUGUGGUCAAGUGACUUUGCUCAAACUCAUGAAAACACUUGGGUUUGAAGAGCAUCUUUGUUUUUUGUUUUUUUUUUUUUUUUUUUUUUUUGUAUUACAAAUAAGUGAUUGUGAACCAUUAAAAUUGAGAGAAACUCAGGAUACACAUGAUUCAGAAUAAAUCCUGAAUCAACUUAGACCCUAAAAUGGCCUGGCCUGUAAGUGUGGAAGACAGGAGACCAAGUAGGUGGAGAAGCCUGGAAGGAAUGGGUUGAAAACUCACACAAAGUCCAGACUAGGCAAAGUCAGGAGAGGUCAGCAGGGAGGGCCAGUGGUCCAGGACUGUGGGAAGAAAACACAUAAAAAAUUAGAAGUGUUGACACUAUCCUAGAUGUCUGCUAAAUCCAAGCACUUCUCUUUUCCACACUAUAGUUGCAGUAGACCAGGUUUUCUAUAGAUGCCUACCGCAGUCUCUGGACUGGUCUUCUUGUUUUAUUCCAGUCUUUUUACCCAAUUGGCCCUUUUCAUUUGCCUCCAUUGUGACUGUUCUAUGAUGUAAACCUUAUCUUUCAACUUUCCCUAUGAAACCUCUCAGAGGUUUUUCCAUGACUAACAGUGUAAAUACCUGAUAAUAUCUUCAUUUUGUCUCUAAGUGCUUUUUCCUCAUCUUAAGCAACACAGUCACCUCUGGAUCACAUUUACCAUUGUCUCUACCUUUAGAAGAGACAGUACUUGUUUCUUAACUUGGGCAAUGCCCACCUGUUCUGCAAGAUUUGACAUUCAUUAACUUCAACCCUGAAUACUCAUUGGAAGGACUGAUGUUGAAGCUGAAGGUCCAAUACUCUGGCCACCUGAUGCGAACAGCUGACUCAUUGGAAAAGACCCUGAUGCUGGGAAAGAUUGAAGGCAGAAGGAGAAAAGGGUGACAGAGAAUGAGAUGGUUGGAUAGUAUAACCAACUCAAUGAACCUGAGUUUGGGAAAACUCCAGGAGAGAGUGAAGGGCAGGGAAGCCUGCUGUGCUGAAGCCCAUGGGGUCUCAAGGAGUCACACAUGGCAACUGAACAACAAUGACAACUUCUGUGCCAGGCACCAGGCUGACCGAAGUGCCUCCGCAGGCACCCCAUACCUAUGUCAGUAGAGCUAACAUUUUUCUUAAAAAUGUUUUAUUUGUUUACUUCCCUCUUUCAUGUGGCUAUGAGCUUUUAGAAUAAAAACUCCAUUUCUCUUCUACUGUAUUACUUCUCAUUGUUUAGCAUAGUGUUUGGGAUAUGGUAUAUGCUCAGUAAAAAGAUAAUGAAUUGUCAAGAGGAAUGUUGAGGCAG
ensembl:lincRNA